CAAUAUCCAUUUCGCGAGAUAACACUCAAAAUGAUCCAGAUGUUGAUCCAGAAAACAGGGGUCGCAGCAAACUUCAAGAAGAAAUUAAAUACAAUUGCCUUAUAAGCUUAUCAUUUUCCAUCAUCCAAACCAAAGUUCACUUCCAUCCCAAGAUCAUCAUGAAAAUUCUUUUCCAUCCAAUCUGUUGUUUGCAAAAUUAGCUAACUCAAUCACCUAUCAAAUUUAUCACAAUUAUUGAAAUGAAACAUCACCACCUAGAGCAAACCUAAAUUUGCUUUACAGCCUCAAAUUCCAAAAAUCCACCCCAUAACGUCAAUUAAUUAUCAACCAAAUCUCAUGAAACCAAACAUUUACCACAAAGUAAUAAAAUAUAUAUAAGAUCCAUUCCCUUAAUAAAAGCAAAUCAAUCAUAAACUUUAU
rnacentral:lncRNA from 1 species